CUUAGAGAGCUUGCUUUUUAAGCUUAGUGGCGAACGGGUGAGUAACGCGUGAGUAACCUGCCUUGUACAGGGGGAUAACAGUUGGAAACGGCUGCUAAUACCGCAUAAGCGCACAGCACCGCAUGGUGCAGGGGUAAAAACUCCAGUGGUAUGAGAUGGCCUCGCGUCUGAUUAGCUAGUUGGUGAGGUAACGGCCCACCAAGGCGACGAUCAGUAGCCGGACUGAGAGGUUGAACGGCCACAUUGGGACUGAGAUACGGCCCAGACUCC
rnacentral:rRNA from 1 species